rnacentral:rRNA from 1 species
UACGAAGGGGGCUAGCGUUGCUCGGAAUCACUGGGCGUAAAGGGUGCGUAGGCGGGCUUUUAAGUCAGAGGUGAAAUCCUGGAGCUCAACUCCAGAACUGCCUUUGAUACUGAAAGUCUUGAGUACGGGAGAGGUGAGUGGAACUGCGAGUGUAGAGGUGAAAUUCGUAGAUAUUCGCAAGAACACCAGUGGCGAAGGCGGCUCACUGGCCCGUAACUGACGCUGAGGCACGAAAGCGUGGGGAGCAAACAGG